UCAGAUGGGAAGAAAGGAGCCCCGAGUUGUGGGUGUUUCUUACAGUGGUGAUAUUAAGUGAAAGGGAGAGCAACUUGUCGGCUGUAGUCUACUCCUCCCCUGCCAGGCAGUCACAGGAUGAAGGGAAACUGUAGAAGCUCCAAAGGCUCCCUGAUGGAGAAGAGGUUUUAGGGCAAUGAAUGGCUAACCAAACCAUAAGGGCUUAAGUUUGGUGGUGGAAACCCUACUAGCUCAGCCACCUUUCCUUGGAAGGGCAGCAUUUCAAAGUAAUGGAAAGUCUAACUUUAAGGCUCUCCCAGUGAAGAAAUUUACUGGCAAGCACAGCAGAUUAUACCAGUGGUGGGAGUGGCUUCAGGAAGAAGCAAAGAAAAAGGCCCGUCGGCUGUUUCUGUUUGAAAGGAGAACUUCUUUACUUGAAGCUGAAGUGACAUCUUUUCAUGUUUUGAUGAACCCGACGCUUCAUGUUCAUAGCAAACUCUAUGGAAAUGAGAUGUGUUCUUCAGCUUGGGUCACUCAAUUCCCCAUCCUAGAACUAGGAUGGUUGGGCAUGGCAAAGGGGUAGUUUUCAAAAGGAAAUUUGGCUACAGAAGAACUUUGGUACUCCCAGAAGGGCAGGAGGCGAUGCUAAAUUGCAAACGGCAGGUGUUUCCCACUGUGGCU
rnacentral:lncRNA from 1 species